GUUUUUUUUAAAAACCGUUAUGUAUGAGCGCAUUUUCUAGAAAAGACAACGGUUUUGAAGAAAUCCGUUAUCUAUGUAGUGUUAUCCAUAACAAUAGAUAACAGUAUGAUGUAAUCCGUUAUCUUUUAGCGUUAUCUAUUAGUUACAUACAUAACGGUUUGAUAAACCGUUACGUCAACCGUUAUCUAUUAACACUUUUUUACAACAGUUUUUUUACCGUUAAGAAAUGCAUUAUAUAACUGUUAUGUAUUAACAUUAUUUUUUUUCAUAAAUAUAUAUUUUUAUUAGGUAAAAUUCGAAACCUAACUCAAAAUCUGAUUUUCAAGCUUCUGCUCCAAUACUCCUAACACACCCGCCGCCUCCCCCCGGUGACGCCGCGCCGGACGACGCUGCACGAGCAACCGGACGCCGGUGCCAGUGAGUCAGUGACCGCCCCUGCCCCCACCCACCCUGCAUCGCGUCGCCUCUGACGCCGCUCUUCUCGCAGCAGCAGAUCGAGAGGCGGAGCACCCUUCUCCCCUCCACCGAGCACGAGCAGACCACCCCUCUCCUCCGCCGACGCCGCUCUUCUCGCAGCGGCAGCAGCAGAUCGGGCUUUUUGCUUCUCCGUCUGCCACCUACCGCACCCGUCUCUCUCUCUCCGUCCGUUAGGCCUAGCAGCUGUCGCCGAUCGAGCUCUCAAUCGCAGACCCUAGGAGCCGCCGCUGUCGCCGCCGCCUUCUACAAUAGCCACCACCAAGGGUCAUUGGGCCUGAAAUGCCAUCCGCUGACCUACUUGCUGCAGCAGCCAAGCUAACAGAAGCUGAAGCAGAACUAAGAGAGGCUAGUUGGAUGGAGACAGCGAUCUAUUUAUAGGACCUCCACCUCCUGCUGUUGUUAAAGAAGCUGAGUCUGCAAAUGAAGCUGAGCGUUUUGAGGAGAUUACAAGAAUAAUUGGUGUCGAGGCAGAUAGUCCAUAUGAUAUUGUUGGGGCCAACAAAGAUAUGGCAGCUGAAAGUAUAAAGAAAAGACUUUCAGCCCCUUGGUCCCUAGAUGGGUGGGGAAAACCAAAAUUGCGAAGUUAAUAAGCAAGAUGAUAGUAAAACAUCUUGAUCUGACAUUGACAAAAGAGGAUUUGCAGGAUGUUGUUGACCUAAUGGAACCAUAUGGUCAAAUAAACAAUGGAAUAGAACUGCUAAGUCCACCUCUUGAUGUAAGUUACUGUAUUGACUACAAUUAUUGCUAAUAAGAGUAGUCUACACUGAUUGGUAAAUGCAAGCAUAUCCUGAGAGUAUUCCGGUGUAAUGCAUCAUCUAUGUUAUCUUUCCACUGUGCAAUAUAGCUGGAAGCAUUUAAAUAAGCUCAUGUUUUGUAUAAUGAUUCCAAUAACUGCUUGCUCAGGGAAGAAAAGACAGAGAUAUGAACUAGUAGAGAGAAAAGACAGGGAAGAAAAUUUCUUGAGUGACUUUGACUAGCAAAUAACACAUGAGAACAAAGGUCUGCGAAUUUUUUUCAUAUAUCUGCAAGUAUCCCUUUCUGCCAUAAAGAUAGCAUAUUGACUCUUUGACAUGUGGUUCUUCUUACUCUGUUUUAUUUGCUUUUUGGAUCCAUAUCUGGCAUAAAACAAAGUAGAGCACAAUAGUAAUCAGCGUUUUGAAUGUCUUUGCAGUUCUUGGUGGAGAAUAAAUUUUGUUAUAUGGUAACUUAAAGUGUCUGAUUAACUUUGGAUAUUUGCAUUAUAAACUAGAAGUUAUUGGUUGAUGCCCAAAAAUCAAAAGUAGGAACGUUGGGUUAACGAACAGGGCAAAUAUUAUUUCGAUGCAUGUAUGAAUACUAGAUUAUGUUUUAAAAUUACAUGCUUGUCACACAUCUCAACUUCUUUGAUGGCUGCUUUUCAGGGAAAGAGAGGUAUUGAAAAGCAGCCUUUUCAACUUCCUGAUUUCAUUGCUGCCACAGGAAUCGAGAAAAUCAGACAAGCUUACAUUGAAAAGGAGGAUAGUAAGAAGUUGAAACAAAAGCAACGUGAGAGAAUGCAGCCUAAAAUGGGAAAGAUGGACAUUGAUUAUCAGGUUCUUCAUGAUGCCUUCUUCAAACAUCAGACUAAGCCGAAAUUGAUCUUAUUGAAACCCCUGAUGUUAUUGAUCUUCGAAAGCAGCAGAGGAAGGAACCUGAUAGGCCUCUCUACCAAGUAAUUAUUUUUCUUUUUUCCUUACAUUGUUACACCUUAUUUUGAAGGUUUCUAGAUGAAAAAUCUUUCCAUUUCAGGUAGCUUCUUUGCUUGAUUAUGUAUUUCUUUCUACAUUUUAUGCCUGCUGGAUUAUAGAUUCAUUUCAGGUUCAAGAGAUUCUGCCUGAAGUGUAAAGGUUACAAGUCUAUUGGUGCUAGAAACAUUGUAUGAUAGAUUUUUGUUUUAGCUAUAAGGUUGUUGGUAUUUUCAAUUUUGAAUCGGAAUAUGCAAUGAUGAUGUAUACUUGAUAUUUGGUUCAUUUGUAUAAUAAUGUAUGAAUUUCUUGGAUGAUAUAUAAUAUUGUUAUCGUUGAUUUUAUCAUUUUGUCGUUUUAUAAAAAUUGCAAAAUUUAAAAAUAUACUACAAUUAUAUAAAGUGCAAAAAACUGUUAUAAAAGGUGCAAAAAAUCGUUAUGUAUUCUAAUUAAAGAUAACGGUUAAAAUCGUUAUAAAAACUGCAAAAAUCGUUAUAAAAAGUGCAA